rnacentral:lncRNA from 1 species
GUGAAAGUGUGGUUCCAGAACAGGAGGAUGAAGUGGAAGAGGGUAAAAUUGGGGCAGCUGGGCACUGCUGCCUGAGAAAAGGAACUGGUGAACGUGAAGAAAGGAACCCUGUUCCCUUCAGAGAUAUCAGGGAUCGGUGCAGCCAUGCUCCAGCAAACAGGGGACUCUCCGGACAAUGAAGACAGCCACAACAGCGACCACAGCUCAGAGCAUGCACACUUAUGAUCCACACAGACAGGACCAACUCCAUCCUCAGGAAAGAAGCACCGUGAUGAAAUGGUGUCAGACAAGGAGCAAAGCCAAAUGGGCUCCCCAAGGGGAUAGACAAAACAAUUCUGAAUGUCUUCAAAUUAAAUUCAGUAAAAACACAUUAUUUUUUAAUGUGAUGUAUUCUUGCAGAACAACCAUCUUUGUAUUUUGUGAAAAAUGUUUAAUAAAUGAUCCUUUAUAAAUAAUUUUGGUCUCCCCAUUGUGAUUUCCUUAAUUUCUAUAGAUUUUAAUAUUCAUAUCUAAGAGUGCCCCAGACUCAAGUGCUCUGUGCUAAUUCAGAUCAAGAUCAUUAAUGAAUCAGUUUUUCAUUUGUAGAUUUAUUAUGGCAAGAAAAAAAAGCAAUCUUUGGGUGAUCGAAGAGAAUCUAAACAUCAUCAUACAGUAAACCAUUUUCUUAAUUUGAAGAAUAUGGCAAAUUAAUGUUUUUGUGUGUUUUACAAAGCAAAGAGAAAAGAUAACACUAACUGCCACGACAAAUAAGUAAAGUAGUCAUAUAUUUUAAAAUUUAUGCUUAACAUAUGUGAAUCAAUCCAAUAGUUGUUUUAAAGUCACACCAACCAGAGUCCUUGAGCUAGCAAAUCAGAAUCUUCAUUGGAAUGGACACCACAGGUAUCAGAAGACAAUGAUUAUAGGCUGGCGCCACGGCUCAAUAGGCUAAUCCUCCACCUGUGGUGCCGGCACAUGGGGUUCUAGUCCCAGUCGGAGUGCUGGUUCUGUCCCGGUUGUUCCUCUUCCUGUCCACCUCUCUGCUAUGGCCCGGGAAGGCAGUGGAGGAUGGCCCAAGUGCUUGGGCCCUGCACCUGCCUAGGAGACCAGGAGAAGCACCUGGAUCCUGGCCAUUGUGGGGGUGAACCAACGGCAAAAGGAAGACCUUUCUCUCUGUCUCUCUCUCACUGUCCACUCUGCCUGUCAAAAAAAAAAAAGUCAAUGAGUGUAUUAACUUAAUACAUUUUGUGUCAUGUAUGGUUGUACAUGCAUUGGAUGCCUAAGACCUACUUACAACUAUAUCAUGUUAUUUUUUAACUGUUCCACAUUUAACCAGAAGAAUUUGGAAACAUUACCAUCAUUCCUCCUUCCUCCAUAGAAAUAAACUGAAAAAUAAUUCAUAAACA